CGCCUCUCUUGGGUGGAGGGAAGGGCUGAGGGGACUUUAAAAUCAAGCUAUCAUUUUAUGUGUACAAAUGCCAAAGUGUCAGUUAAUGAAGGGGGAGGGGAGAGCAGAUUAUUCCGGAGAUACUUGUAUUUCCCGUGACAGCAUCAGCUGCACGUGCGUUCUCACCUGAGCACUGUUAAUGCAUUUUUCAGAACCGAGCGACCAUGAUGGGAAACUUAACCACGAGGGAACAAAAGGAAAGCGCGUCUCUGCGACCGAGACCCGCGAACCAUCUGCGCCAGCCAAGAGUGGUCCACGUGGGAGGAGCCGCGGACCUCAAUCCGGACGCAGGCCGCCAGCGGCUGAGCCCACCCUGCGAGGGCAUCUGUUGGCGCCGUCUGAGCUCUGCGAAACGCCGGGGAGGGUGAAGACCGGCUCUUCAGUCGCUACAGCAAAUUCACCGCAGCAUCUCCGGUGGAAGCUUUGCCGUGGGUGCUCCUGUAUAAAUGAGAAAAAACAAAAACAAGAAAAUUUUCUAAG
rnacentral:lncRNA from 1 species